rfam:Lactobacillus hominis DSM 23910 = CRBIP 24.179, type strain:CRBIP 24.179, WGS project CAKE01000000 data, contig: 2
UGUACGAAGUAAAUUCUACCUAAGACUCGGGUGGCGUUAAGCCUUAAUAUCCCGCCGAGGCCAGAAAAACAAAGAGUUAUACAACUCCACGUCUUUUUGGCGUGGGGUUUUUAAUUUCGGCAG